GAUCAUUAUUGAAAUAAACCUGAUGGGUUGCUGCUGGCUCUCUAGGGAGCAUGUGCACACUUGUCAUCUUUAUAUCUCCUCCUGUGCACCUUUUGUAGACCUGGGAUAUUAUUCUGGACUUGCGCAAGCAGGGUUCAGGUUUGAGGAUUUGGCAUUUGUCUUUCCUUGCAUUUCAGGUCUAUGUUUUCCAUAUACCCCUGUAUGUUAUAGAAUGUAUUUAAUGGGCCUUUGUUGCCUAUAAACCUAUACAACUUUCAGCAACGGAUCUCUUGGCUCUCGCAUCGAUGAAGAACGCAGCGAAAUGCGAUAAGUAAUGUGAAUUGCAGAAUUCAGUGAAUCAUCGAAUCUUUGAACGCACCUUGCGCUCCUUGGUAUUCCGAGGAGCAUGCCUGUUUGAGUGUCAUUAAUAUAUCAACCUCUUCAGCUUUUGCUUGUUGAGCGUUGGAUGUGGGGGUAUCUUUUUUGCUGGUCUCUUUGUGAGGUCGGCUCCCCUAAAAUGCAUCAGCGGAACAAUUUGUUGACCGUUCAUUGGUGUGAUAAUUAUCUACGCUAUUGACGUGAAGCAGAGUUCAGCUUCUAACAGUCCAUUCACUUGGACACUUUUCAUUAAUGUGACCUCAAAUCAGGUAGG
rnacentral:rRNA from 1 species